AACAGGCUUGGGGCUGGAGAAGUCCCUGUGCAGGCAAAAUAUGCCCGAUGGAUAAUACCGCCAUUUGGCUAAGGAUGGGAGUUGGUUAACUCAGAGGGGGGACUGUCACACAAGCCCUAUACCACAAGAGCAAAGCAGCUGAAUUAAAAACCCCUCUGCAUCAGUCAUUAACCCGGGACAUGCCUUCUUAUAAUGUCUCCUAUAUGCUCUUAUAAGGUCUCCAAUAUGCUUCUUAUCAUGUCUCCAAUAUGUUCUCCCCUGCUUAUAGUUUAUUACUAACUUCUUCGUUUCUCUAUCACUCGACACUAACCAAUCACCCAGGGCAACGAGAACAUGCAAAAUACCCUGCUCACUUGUCUGAGGCUAUUAAUCUGCUACUAAUCUGUCAUUAACAUGUUGAAUGCAACUAUAUAAAACAAAAAAUGUGCUGAUUUUCUGAAUGCUCCAAUUGUUAAGCUUGAAAAUGAGCUCAAG